rnacentral:rRNA from 1 species
CCUACGGGAGGCAGCAGUGAGGAAUAUUGGUCAAUGGGCGCGAGCCUGAACCAGCCAAGUCGCGUGAGGGAGGAAGGUUCUAUGUAUCGUAAACCUCUUUUGUAAGGGAAUAAAGUGUGGGACGUGUCCUCUGUUGUAUGUACCUUAUGAAUAAGCAUCGGCUAACUCCGUGCCAGCAGCCGCGGUAAUACGGAGGAUCCGAGCGUUAUCCGGAUUUAUUGGGUUUAAAGGGUGCGGUGGCGGUCUUUUAAGUCAGCGGUGAAAGGCUGGGGCUCAAACAUAGAAUCGCCGUUGAAACUGGGGGGCUCGAGUUUGUUUGAGGCAGGCGGAAUGCGCGGUGUAGCGGUGAAAUGCUUAGAUAUCGCGCAGAACCCCGAUUGCGAAGGCAGCAUGCCAGGUCAUGACUGACGCUGAUGCACGAAAGCGUGGGGAUCAAACAGGAUUAGAUACCCGAGUAGUC